rnacentral:rRNA from 1 species
UAGUCUACGCCGUAAACGAUGCGCACUAGGUACAGGAGUCUCUGACGGCGCCUGUGCCGAAGCAAAAGUGUUAAGUGCGCCGCCUGGGGAGUACGGCCGCAAGGCUAAAACUCAAAGGAAUUGACGGGGGCUCACACAAGCGGUGGAGCAUGUGGCUCAAUUCGAAGCAACGCGAAGAACCUUACCCGGGUUCAAAUCUUGGGAUGCCUACCUGGAAACAGGUUUUGGCUGCUCUUCGGAGUGAAACCUUGAUCGGUGCUGCAUGGCUGUCGUCAGCUCGUGCUGUGAAGUGUUGGGUUAAGUCCCGUAACGAGCGAAACCCUUGUCGUUAGUUGCCAGCGGGUAAUGCCGGGGACUCUAACGAGACUGCCGGUGUCAAACCGGAGGAAGGUGGGGAUGACGUCAAGUCCUCAUGGCCCUUAAGCCCGGGGCGGCACACGUGCUACAAUGGGGUGAACAGAGCGACGCGAGGCCGCGAGGCGGAGCAAAUCGCAAAAAUCACUCCUCAGUUCGGAUUGG